UGAUUGCUAAAAUUCAUUGCAUGUAGCUUUUUGGCAUUUAAUUCAAUAUCCUUAGUCAACUUAUCAAAUUAACAAUCAAAAUUUUCAAUUAAAUAAUGAUUGGCUUUGAGACAUAUGAUUGAAGUCUGAUCAACCGAUUAAUCGUAAAGGCGUAGUCAUCGCUCAUUGGUAAUAGCCAUUUUUGUUUUGUCUACUCUAAAAAAAAUUUAAUCGCUAAAAAGUAAAUUGUUUGAAUUUCUCGGAUUAAAGCUGUUUAUUCGUUUCUUUAAAAAUAAAAAAUGCCGAUGCUAUGUGGAGGUUGGGGUCAAACUAAAGAUGCUGAUGAUUUAACUCAUCGUAUCGUAGCCCAGGUGAAACCGGAACUUGAACGUAAACUUAAUCGAGAGUUUGAGCAGCUCAGUGCAGUAAGUUACAAGUCUCAAAUUGUAAAUGGAACCAACUACUUGAUUAAGGCAAAAGCAAGCGAUGACGAACAUGUUCACAUUCGCGUUCAUUUGCCAAUUCGAUCCGAAGAAGCCAGUCUGGUUAAUCACAAGGACAAAGUGCCACCCUCUGAUGAAUUGGAAGUUUUUUAAUCAAUUUCUCGAUCCGAUACGAGCCAAGCUCGCAGAGUCUCUUCCAUUUUUCCAUAUAAUUUCUAACAACGCAAAAUAAUUAGUUGUUUAACAACUUUAUAACUCAACUUUUCAGCCAUCUUCUGAUUCAUUCAGUCUCCAUGGUUAAAAAGUGUUAUUGAUGUAACCCCGGUGAAUAUUCAAUUGUAUCAUGAAUAACUAAAUAAGGUGUGUGAAAUAUUCAUGAUCUUGAUGAAAUAAAAAAUAUACAUGUUUCUAUUAAUUCAAAGUGAAAUUAAACGUAACAAUAAACCAUUUAAGAAACGUUAA